CAGCUUGAGCAUGUCCCGAAUUGCACAUCUCUUCCCUCUCUUAUUCCCACUCUUAUAUUUAACAGUGAUCACUUUUCAGUUAAGUUUCAGCACUUAAGAAGAAUUGUGUAUUGAUUACAGUAUUCAACCAAAAGUAUUAAGUAGAACAAACAAAAAAAAAUACUAAGAGGGAUAACAUAUCAAGUUGCUCAUCAACAGUCAGGGUGAGGGCUGAUCAAGUCACUGUUUCUCAUAGUGUUCAUUUCACUUUAACAGGUUUCCUUUUUGGUGCUCAGUUAGUUGUCACCUAUCAAGGAGAACAAGUGGUAUUUGUCCCUUUGGGAUUGGCUUAUUUCACUCAGCAUAAUGUUUUCCAAAUUCCUAACAGGGAUCACUUUUCAGUUAAAAUUUAAACACCUAAGAAUAAUUGUGUGUUAAUUACAGAGUUCAACCAAUGGUACUAGAACAAAAAAAAAUACUAAAAUGGAUAAAGUAUUACAUUGUACAUCAACAGUCAGCACAAGAGCUGUUUGAGAAACAGUGACUUGACCAUGCUUGUAUAUUUUCACUAAAAAUCAUUAGAAUACUUAUUUUGAAAAGCUGAAGUCUUAGGCAUUUGGAUGAAUAUACAAAGGAUUUUCAAAAAGUGGAAAACAAAAUUAAAAGUUCAUCUUGGUGCAAAAAGUUUUGAACACAGUGAAUAAUUUUUUUCAAAACACACACUUUCCCUAAACAGUUUGAAGACACUUCAUACUUCAGCUGCCAUCAAAACAAAAGUAGAAAAAUAAUUUUUUUCAUUCCAGUCAAUGAAGCUGGAUUAAUACAGUGAUACUAACUUGAACUAUAAAAAUUUUUAUGUAUGAGUCUACCAUGAUGACACUAUUUUAAUAGAAAUAUUUAUAAUCUGGAAUUAUUUUUUCAGAUUGUGUUUGCUCAUCUUGAGAUGAAGAUAAAGAAACAUGUCUCCCCCAAAUCUUCCUCUUAUUUCAACUCACUCCAAUCUUCUUAGUAUAUUUGAAUGGUGAAAGUGUGGUUCCAGAACAGGAGGAUGAAGUGGAAGAGGGUAAAAUUGGGCCAGCUGGGCACUGCUGCCUGAGAAAAGGAACUGGUGAACGUGAAGAAAGGAACCCUGUUCCCUUCAGAGAUAUCAGGGAUCGGUGCAGCCAUGCUCCAGCAAACAGGGGACUCUCCGGACAAUGAAGACAGCCACAACAGCGACCACAGCUCAGAGCAUGCACACUUAUGAUCCACACAGACAGGACCAACUCCAUCCUCAGGAAAGAAGCACCGUGAUGGCAAGUCUUACCCAACAGAGUUUUCACAGAGAGAUGGCCAUGGCCAUGAUUUUUAAUAUUAUCAAAUUCAGGCAUCAUGGGUCUGUUUUGCAUGAUUUAUAGAGGAUUUAUACUAAGUGCCACUUAUCAAAGAUGCUUCCAUGAUGAAAAUCAGAAGGUGAAUUUUCUUUGAAUAGUCAGAGAUGUUUGGUUGUAUGUAUGACAGUGAGCAGGUAUGUUUGCCUUUGCUUGUACUGAAAAAUUAAAUGGGUACCCAAGAACAAAUUAUGACACAUUUCUACACGAGAUGCCUCCAGAGUGAAAUCGUUGAAGAUGAACUUGCUUUAAACUCUCAGCUGAUGAAAAUAGGCACUGAUAAUGCCAGCCAGGCCAGCUUCCUGCCUUUUUAUGCAUGUGUCAUUCUGAGACAAUCCAUAUGUGCUUACUUGUGUACAAGUAGAGAAACAUACAGUAGAUAGAGUCUGAUAUGACAUAUUCUUGUACCACAGACAAAACAAACAUUAUGUUGCAUUUACUAUCAACUGCUGCUAAUAAGUUUUUAUACAACUUACCUAGCUCCUCCUUGAUUCGUCCUAUCUUGUAGCUUGAAAAAAAAAUAGGAUCAUAGGCAAAUCAGUUACUUUGUGGAAAGAGCUUUGUUGUGGCAGACACUGUGAUUUUAUUUCUAUAAAAUUAAAGCUGUUAUGAAUAUGACUUAAUUAACAAGAAAAUGUUUCUUCCUUCUUAGAAAUGGUGUCAGACAAGGAGCAAAGCCAAAUGGGCUCCCCAAGGGGAUAGACAAAACAAUUCUGAAUGUCUUCAAAUUAAAUUCAGUAAAAACACA